GGGAUAUGAUGAGUGGUCAUUGCUGGCUAUUAGAUCUGCCAGAAGUGCGUCCAGGCCCAGCCUGGUUACGACAAUUUGGGCGCUCUCAUUAGUACCAAUCUGAUCCC